AGAGUUUGAUCCUGGCUCAGGAUGAACGCUGGCGGCGUGCUUAACACAUGCAAGUCGAACGAUUGAAGCUGGAGCUUGCUCCGGCCGAUUUAGUGGCGGACGGGUGAGUAACGCGUGGGUAACCUGCCUCAUACAGGGGGAUAGCAGUUGGAAACGACUGGUAAAACCGCAUAAGCGCACGGUGUCGCAUGACACAGUGUGAAAACACUCCGGUGGUAUGAGAUGGACCCGCGUCUGAUUAGCUAGUUGGUGAGGUAACGGCCUACCAAGGCGACGAUCCAUAGCCGGCCUGAGAGGGUGAACGGCCACAUUGGGACUGAGACACGGCCCAAACUCCUACGGGAGGCAGCAGUGGGGAAUAUUGCACAAUGGGGGAAACCCUGAUGCAGCGACGCCGCGUGAGUGAUGAAGUAUUUCGGUAUGUAAAGCUCUAUCAGCAGGGAAGAUAAUGACGGUACCUGACUAAGAAGCACCAGCUAAAUACGUGCCAGCAGCCGCGGUAAUACGUAUGGUGCAAGCGUUAUCCGGAUUUACUGGGUGUAAAGGGUGCGUAGGUGGCAAGGCAAGUCUGAAGUGAAAAUCCGGGGCUCAACCCCGGAACUGCUUUGGAAACUGUUUAGCUGGAGUACAGGAGAGGUAAGUGGAAUUCCUAGUGUAGCGGUGAAAUGCGUAGAUAUUAGGAGGAACACCAGUGGCGAAGGCGACUUACUGGACUGCUACUGACACUGAGGCACGAAAGCGUGGGGAGCAAACAGGAUUAGAUACCCUGGUAGUCCACGCCGUAAACGAUGAUUACUAGGUGUGGGGGGACUGACCCCCUUUCCGUGCCGCAGUUUACCACAAUAAGUAAUCCACCUGGGGAGUACGGCCGCAAGGUUGAAACUCAAAGGAUUUGACGGGGGCCCGCACAAGCAGUGGAGUAUGUGGUUAAUUCGAAGCAACGCGAAGAACCUUACCAGGUCUUGACAUCGAGUGACGUACCUAGAGAUAGGUAUUUUCUUCGGAACACAAAGACAGGUGGUGCAUGGUUGUCGUCAGCUCGUGUCGUGAGAUGUUGGGUUAAGUCCCGCAACGAGCGCAACCCUUACCAUUAGUUGCUACGCAAGAGCACUCUAAUGGGACUGCCGUUGACAAAACGGAGGAAGGUGGGGACGACGUCAAAUCAUCAUGCCCCUUAUGACCUGGGCCACACACGUACUACAAUGGCUGUAAACAGAGGGAAGCAAAGCCGCGAGGUGGAGCAAAACCCUAAAAGCAGUCCCAGUUCGGAUCGCAGGCUGCAACCCGCCUGCGUGAAGUCGGAAUUGCUAGUAAUCGCGGAUCAGCAUGCCGCGGUGAAUACGUUCCCGGGCCUUGUACUCACCGCCCGUCA
rnacentral:rRNA from 1 species